UACGGAGGGGACUAGCGUUGUUCGGAAUUACUGGGCGUAAAGCGCACGUAGGCGGAUUUGUAAGUCAGGGGUGAAAUCCCGGGGCUCAACCUCGGAACUGCCUUUGAUACAGCAAGUCUUGAGUUCGAGAGAGGUGGGUGGAAUUCCUAGUGUAGAGGUGAAAUUCGUAGAUAUUAGGAAGAACACCGGUGGCGAAGGCGGCCCACUGGCUCGAUACUGACGCUGAGGUGCGAAAGCGUGGGGAGCAAACAGG
rnacentral:rRNA from 1 species